AUGAUGUAUAUAUAUAUAUAUAUAUAUAUAUAUAUAUAUAUAUAUAUAUAUAUAUAUAUAUAUAUAUAUAUAUAUAUAUAUAUAUAUAUAAUGGCAUUACCAUCUGAUACCAUUACUGUAUCUUUAAAAAAUUUUCUUUCUAAAAGGACAGAAGGUCCAACAGACCUGUGCUCUUCAUAUCUUUCUCUCUGUGCCACAGUCACUUUAUUCUUCUUCAGUAUCCUUUUCCCAUCUUUUGUUUCUGGAGUCUUUCUCAGUAGAGGGGUUGGGCAGUUUUGGUCCUGGAGGGCCACUGACCUACAGAAUGUACUUACAUUCUUAAUCAACAAUCUUACCUACAUUCUCAGAAAUAAAGGUACAAAAGCUGUCACUGUGGCAGUACCUUUUUAAAAGAUACACCUUUGUACCUAAGAGUCCAUAUUGGUACAUGUUAUUGCCUAAAAGCUGCAAAAGUGUAUCUUUUAAAAACGUACUGCACCAGUUACUGCUUUUGUACCUUUUUUUCUGAGAAUAUAUGUUUUCAUAAUUGCUUAAAAAUGACAGGCGUGUGUGUUUGAUUAGGGCACUAAACUCUGCAGUAGAGACCUGCGCGGGACGGAUUUUUCAGUUAAUCGCGAUCUCAUAAAGCUAUGUUAUAACACAAUAAAUAUAUGCACAAUGAAUCUUUCAGUGUCUACCACUUAGUGUGUUAAAAUGAGAGGAUUCGUGAGCAUGCAAUUUCAGCACUGUGGUGAGAAGAUUUUAACUGAAUCACCUCUGAUUGGCCAUUGCGUUCCAGAAAUCAACAGCUGAGUCUGUGAUUGGCUACAUUGCAACCCUUUAAACACGUCUUAUUAAUAGAAACUAUGCCUUACUUGCACGUCAAUCAUUUUAAUGUUAAUAUUAGUUGUUCUUUUUGCUUUUAUGCAACAGAUAAAUAACAACUUUUAUGUUUUAGACACUUUAUGUUUAGAUAAUUUCUAUUUUGCGGGAGUCCCACUAAUCAUUUUAUUCUCCUGCAUCCAGCACCCGCGGGAGUGCAGGUCUGUACUCUGCAGGACAGUGGCCAUCCAGGACCUAAGUUGCCCAUUCCGGUAGUAGAGUAUGGUUUUAGACCUUUUAGUACCUUGCCAAAAGUUUCUGAUUCUCUUGGCCACAUCUAUACAUUUUGCAAACACUUUUAACCAAAGUGCACUCAAUUCAAGGCAUUCAUUUGAUCAGUUUUUGCAUUCCCUGGAAAUUGAACCCUUGACCCUGGCACUAUAUUAUUUGAGCUACAGGAAUGCCUUUGUGGCUCAGGCUAUACUGGUCACCGCUCUAAAAGUCAUCUUCACAAUACUGAAGCAAAAUUCACAGGUCCAGGAGGAUAAGCUUCGAUAUCAUUGCGUAACCUGAUAUU
ensembl:lncRNA